rnacentral:rRNA from 1 species
GACGAACGCUGGCGGCGUGCCUAAUACAUGCAAGUUGAGCGCUGAAGGUUGGUACUUGUACCAACUGGAUGAGCAGCGAACGGGUGAGUAACGCGUGGGGAAUCUGCCUUUGAGCGGGGGACAACAUUUGGAAACGAAUGCUAAUACCGCAUAAAAACUUUAAACACAAGUUUUAAGUUUGAAAGAUGCAAUUGCAUCACUCAAAGAUGAUCCCGCGUUGCAUUAGCUAGUUGGUGAGGUAAAGGCUCACCAAGGCGAUGAUACAUAGCCGACCUGAGAGGGGGAUCGGCCACAUUGGGACUGAGACACGGCCCAAACUCCUACGGGAGGGAGCAGUAGGGAAGCUUCGGCAAGGGACGAAAGUCUGACCGAGCAACGCCGCGUGAGUGAAGAAGGUUUUCGGAUCGUAAAACUCUGUUGGUAGAGAAGAACGUUGGUGAGAGUGGAAAGCUCAUCAAGUGACGGUAACUACCCAGAAAGGGACGGCUAACUACGUG